rnacentral:lncRNA from 12 species
UUUGGACUGAAUUUCUUCAUUGGAAAUCUUUAAACUUGGACAGAAUUUCUGUAUGGGGAGCACAGAAAUGAGGACAGUUUGAGCUGUUGGGCUGGAGAAACACCCAUGGCAUA